AAGGUUUCCGUAGGUGAACCUGCGGAAGGAUCAUUCAUAAUAAGUGUUUAUGGCACUUUUUAAAUCCAUAUCCACCUUGUGUGCAAUGUCAGCCGUCUUUUCUUUAUGGAAAGGCAGCCAAACAUCAACUUAUUUUUUUAACUGUCUGUCUGAAAACUAUUAUGAAUAAACAAUUCAAAUACAACUUUCAACAACGGAUCUCUUGGCUCUCGCAUCGAUGAAGAACGCAGCGAAAUGCGAUACGUAAUGUGAAUUGCAGAAUUCAGUGAAUCAUCGAAUCUUUGAACGCAUAUUGCGCUCUUUGGUAUUCCGAAGAGCAUGCUUGUUUGAGUAUCAGUAAACACCUCAAAGCCUUUAAUUCCGUUUGGAAGCUUUGGACUUGAGCAAUCCCAACACCAGUCUCGCGACUGGCGGAGGGUUGCUUGAAAUGCAGGUGCAGCUGGACAUUCUCCUGAGCUAUAAGCAUAUUUAUUUAGUCCCGUCAAACGGAUUAUUACUUUUGCUGCAGCUAACAUAAAGGGAGUCUGACCGCAUUAGCUGACUGAUGCAGGAUUUCACAAGGGACUGGCAACAGCCUCUUGUAAAACUCGAUCUCAAAUCAAGUAAGACUACCCGCUGAACUUAAG
rnacentral:rRNA from 1 species